rnacentral:rRNA from 1 species
GAUGAACGCUGGCGGCGUGCCUAAUACAUGCAAGUCGAGCGCACGGACGAGAAGCUUGCUUCUCUGAUGUUAGCGGCGGACGGGUUAGUAACACGUUGAUAACCUACCUAUAAGACUGGGAUAACUUCGGGAAACCGGAGCUAAUACCGGAUAAUAUUUUGAACCGCAUGGUUCAAAAGUGAAAGACGGUCUUGCUGUCACUUAUAGAUGGAUCCGCGCUGCAUUAGCUAGUUGGUAAGGUAACGGCUUACCAAGGCAACGAUGCAUAGCCGACCUGAGAGGGUGAUCGGCCACACUGGAACUGAGACACGGUCCAGACUCCUACGGGAGGCAGCAGUAGGGAAUCUUACGCAAUGGGCGAAAGCCUGACGGAGCAACGCCGCGUGAGUGAUGAAGGUCUUCGGAUCGUAAAACGCUGUUAUUAGGGAAGAACAUAUGUGUAAGUAACUGUGCACAUCUUGACGGUACCUAAUCAGAAAGCCACGGCUAACUACGUG